rnacentral:rRNA from 1 species
UACGUAGGGGGCUAGCGUUGUCCGGAAUCAUUGGGCGUAAAGAGCGUGUAGGCGGCUCGGUAAGUCCGCUGUGAAAGUCCAGGGCUCAACCCUGGAAUGCCAGUGGAAACUGUCGAGCUAGAGUCCGGAAGAGGCGAGUGGAAUUCCUGGUGUAGCGGUGAAAUGCGCAGAUAUCAAGGAGGAACACCAAUGGCGAAGGCAGCUCGCUGGGACGGUACUGACGCUGAGACGCGAAAGCGUGGGGAGCAAACGGG